UUAUGGCCGAAAAUACUGUAUUUUUAACCAGUAAGAUCAUCGGGGCAUUAUACAACAUUAGGUGUUCCUUUUUUUUUUUUUUUUUUGAAAAACUAGUUCCCAUCCCCAAACAAUAGACAAUACAUGCAUUUGAAUGACAUUUUAAGAACAGUAAAUAUGAUUUUUUUUAAAUACUGCAAGUUAAAAAUGUUUUUGACAAAACUCCCUAAGUACACAGAUCUAGUCAGGUCUUCCACAUGAGGGUCGAUGCAGAGUCUGGCCAGAGGCUUCAGUUAGAGUCCUUUGAGGAAAUCUGCCAGAAACGUGUUUCAAUGAAAGUGACCCAGACAGACUUAGAUAGUGUUUUUACUUCCUUUUCUAACCCUACAAACAGCUUGCUGAAUGAUCUUCCUCCCUGCGUUUUCUUCCUGACUACCGAAGCUUCUAUGAAAGCCAGAAUUCCUUUAUCUAAGUAAGAUCUGAUUUUUACCAAGUGGCUGUUUUUUUAACAUGUAAAUGUAUUCAUCACUGGGUUCAGAUUUUAUGGCGUGAUGGCAUCUCCGUGGUAGAUAUGGAAGGUGGGAGGACAUAUCUGGGCACCUCUGUGCAUCAGGUGUGCAUGCAUACUCUGGACCAAUGGCUCUAGAGGCAAGGGUGCUAUUGCAGGGUGGCAGAAGCGGGGAGAUGGCAGGAAACAGUAUUACUGCAAGGAAAACAGAGUGUAGACGUUCAGCAAGUUAUCUGUGGAAUGGCAGGUGUCUAGCUUCCCCAACCUUGGCCUAAUCACACAGAACCAAGCCAUUUGUUUUUCCCAAUGUUCGAGAACCAAAAUGGAAUCCCAAAGAUACAAGUGCCAGGAUAUCUCUUAACACUGCAUACGCUGGAAGUGUGGGGGGACAGACAGACACAGUGUUAGCUUCCAUUUUUGUAUGUCUUUCUAACCAAAGAUUUCUCUUUGGAAUAAAAUAUUAAUGUAUGCCCAACUAACCUUAUUUGUAUCAAUUAAGAUGCUGUUACUAACCACUUGAGUGGCUUAAGACCCUUACUUAAUUUUAAGAAGAGCAGCAAUAUACAUUACAAUAUUUGGGUACACUUUAUUUUUAUAUGGGUUAACAUUCUGCUAUAUUUCACUUCAUUCGUUCUCUUGAGAAACUGAAAACAAAGGGGCUGGGGUCAUCUGAGGGUCAUCUGGGGUCAUCUGAGGGUCUGAGUCUUGCGGUGUCUUGUUAUGCAGCCCUUUCUUCCCAUUAUUAUUUUUAUUUUUUUGCAAGUAAUCAAGUCAUUUUGACCCAAAUCCAGCAUAAACAGCUUUUCACCAAUUCCUACUUAAGACAACUUAAAUUUACAAUCAUGUGGCAGUAUAAAUUUUUAAAUUACAAUUCGUACAACUUGACAAUCAAUAUAAGUCUGAAGUACAAAAAGUAAAUUGCCCUUUGGCUGAAUUACCUUUUAAAACGAUUAGGCCUGCUAAUGUAAUCUAAACAAAACAAAACAAAACAAAACCCCGAGCCCCCAAGUUCCAGGGUGUUCUCUAAAUAUCGCUGUGGAUGCCACCUGCCAGUAAACAACACAUGCAGGCUCCUAAGAAUUUCCCAGCUACUCAGGACAUUCAACAGAGCUCUUCCUACGGAAACAGUAAGGAAAACCCAACAGGCUCUGUAAGACCCACUGACUUUUGCAUGGGUGCGUGUUUUCCCUUUGUUUCAGACAUGAGGCACAGACUUCUGAAUUUAAGCUCUGUAAGGCAUAGUAUAAACCUCCAAUUUACAAAUAGGAAUUCUCUGUGGGUGGGAACUGCCGCAUCACACACAAAAGGGAGACAUCAUCUGUAAACGGCACACUCGUGCUGAGUGACUCGGGAGAUGGCUGCUUGCCUUGGGAUGCUGAGGAAAGGUUUCUGUGGUCUGUGUUUUUCUUCUGAAUAAGACAUGCCCAAGUCACCAUAACACUCCUCACAAGCCUCCAUUACCUAGAGCAUCGACAACAGGAACGCUUGCAAUCACAAUAGAAGAGAAAGCAUGAGUAAACUUUGUUUUUGUACAAAACUGAGAAGCCCUUCCCGCCCCUCACCCCUUCAAUAAAACCCCAAACAAGAAACAACAACAAAAUUAUUUUUAGCUUCAUUGACUAGUGUGGAUACAAUUAGGUGUCCAGGCAUCACUGCAGCUAGGGUGAUCAAUGUUUUCCUUUCUCAAAAGAAGGGAUCCUGUCAUGCACCCCAGGAUGUGCAGUGAGGCCACAGACUUCAACUCUGCACAGCAAGCUGCAUCCUCAAUUCAGAAAGACGCCGUGGCCACCUCUCUCUGCCGUACUCAGCAGCUCUGAGCUGGAUAUCAGCAUGGUUCAACCACAUCCACUACAGCUCUAAUAGACAGAACAGCUCGGUUCCUUAGGACUGUUAACACUUAUGAUCCUGGGAUGAGGUUUUCUCUGUACACUGCAGGCCAUCAAAUGUUACUUUUUUUU
ensembl:lncRNA